rnacentral:rRNA from 1 species
CUACGGGAGGCUCCAGUUAGGAAUAAUCUACAAUGCGCGAAAGCGUGAUAGUUUGAGCCAGAGUGUUUUUCAAUUGAAAGACUUUUGUGAAAUGUAAAAAGUUUCACGAAUAAGGACUGGGUAAGACUAGUGCCAGCCGCCGCGGUAAUACUAGCGGUCCAAGUCGCAACCAUUUUUAUUGGGUCUAAAACAUCCGUAGCUUGCUUGACAAGUCUUCUGUGAAAUUUUACGUCUAAAACGUAGAGCGCGCAGAAGGUACUAUCAAGCUAGAGACCGGAAGACGUAAGAAGUACAUUCAGAGUAGCGGUUAAAUGUGUUAAUCCUGGAUGGACUAACAAGAGCGAAGGCAUCUUACGAGGACGGUUCUGACAGUAAGGGAUGAAAGCUAGGGGCGCAAAUGGGAUUAGAUACCCGGGUAGUC